CGCUUGAGAGUUCCAUAAUAGGUAGAACGGUAGUGGUGUUUAAAAAUAGCAAAAAAAGUAAACUGUUAUGUUACACAUUCAAAUUCAUUUCUGAAUAGUAAAAUGAAAGUACUUCAGUUAACUGUGAAUGUAGAAUGUGGUGAAAAUUCUAAAUAGGCUAUCAUUAUCCCUUAUGGGCCAGGAAAUACUACCGUGCCACCAAUAUUAAACAAGGAAUCCGAACUCCUAACAGCCCAUUUGGAAUUGGUAAAACAUGAUUAAUAAUACAGACAUGUAGUUUGAUAGACAACAUCGUAGAAGACAAAACGACUGGUGAAAGUGAAAGUGAAAGAUACAUCGUAAAAUAUUUACAAAAAAU
rnacentral:lncRNA from 1 species